rnacentral:lncRNA from 1 species
AUGCUGGCCCUACCUCUGGGCAAGUGCCAAAGACUUGGCUUUUCCCUGUCUGCAAAACGGGUUGAUGCAGGAUUAAGUAACACAAGUGAACAACUAACCCCGGGGCACAGCAAACCCAUGAUAAGCCAACUAGCAUCUGUACCUCCUCACAAAUGUGACACUGCACAUGUCCAGCCCAGUUCCAGGCUUGUUCCCCACAAAACCCACAACAAAUGUCAUUUACUUCUUUCCCCCAAAUCCUGGAUCUCAGCUCUGGGUGGGGAAGGGUCAGCUAUGCUUUCUUGGUAUAAUUAUCGUUCCUUUAUUUGGAUGUUCCCAGGCUUGUUUUACACCAAUUGUUUGAAUCUUCAUUUCUGUACGUGCUUCAUACUGUUUGGGGAGAAAUCUCUCAGUAGCAGUUCCCCAGAAUGUGCCUUGUGGAGACAUGGUGGAAAGGAAAAAGAACCCAGUUCCUGGAGCUCCAGUAGGUGCCUGCAUGUGGUCACAGGACUUCUUGACUUCAAGGCGUUGACUUCUACUGAAAUGAUGAGCCAAGUAUGCUACAGAUUGACUCAGAGGUCCACCUAACACCAUGAGAGAUGGGUCGGCGACAGAUGAGGGCCUAGCCCCUCUCCAGCUGUCUCCUGGCUGCCAUCCUCCACUCCUGGUACAAAGGGGCUCACACUUCGAUCUUUCCAUGUGAAAAGGACCAAAAAUCUACUCUCAAAGCUCAGAGUUCCAAAUGGAUCAUUGGUGUCCACUCAGGUGUCACGUGUCGCCUUCAGAAGCAUAUGAGUGUAGGGAGAGAAGUGUGUGUGUGUGUGUGUGUGUGUGUGUGUGUGUGUGUGAGAGAGAGAGAGAGAGAGAGAGAGAGAGAGAGGGAGAGAGGGAGAGAGGGAGAGAGGGAGAGAGAGACAGAGACAGAGACAGAGACAAAGAGAGGUUGAUUGAGAUUCAUUCCCACUACUGGCAAAUGUCUAGAACAGAGUUUCUUGAUGCCUUAUAUUUGUCUGACAUUUCAAAAAGAUUAGUGUGUAGGUGUCCAGGUAUUAAUAUUGAUCUCUGUUCAUUCCUUUGGGUAAACAACUGCUCGAACACAACACCACUUGAUUACUUUAAUUCAGAAAUAGUAGGAGAAGAAAAUCGCCUGUUUUCAUCUUUAUUUGAUAGCUGUAGAAGGUUCUGGGUCAAGCAGGUGAGGUCAGUGGUGGUGAUUUUAGUUGUAAUAAAGGCAUAUUUGUGAGCCCUGUUCCUUGCA